rnacentral:rRNA from 1 species
GACGAACGCUGGCGGAGUGCUUAACACAUGCAAGUCGAAGGGAAAGCUGCUGUUUCUGUGGGUUGCUCGAGUGGCGAACGGGGGAGUAAGACGUGAGUAACCUGCCCUUGACGUGGGGAUAACUUCAGGAAACUGAGGCGAAUACCGGAUAGGAGCUCCUGCUGCAUGGAGGGGGAUGGAAAGUUUCGGCGGUUGGGGAUGGACUCGCGGCUUAUCAGCUUGUUGGUGGGGUAGUGGCUUACCAAGGGUUUGACGGGUAGCCGGCGUGAGAGGGUGACCGGCCACAUUGGGACUGUGAUACGGCCCACACUCCUACGGGAGGCAGCAGUGGGGAAUAUUGCAGAAUGGGCGGACGCCUGAUGCAGAAACGCCGCGUGCGGGAUAACGGCCUUCUGGUUGUAAAACGUUUUCGCCUGUGACGAAGAGAGAGUGACGGUACUGGGUAAAGAAGCGCCGGCUAACUACGUG